rnacentral:rRNA from 1 species
GGCUGGAUCAUUAUCGAGCUUAAAAAAACACUUCGACGGCCUCACGGCUCGAGAUCGUGUUCGUGGCAGAUUAGUGUGCGGUCCGUUUGCUUGACGGAUGACUGCACGCCACAGUAACCCAACGGCUAACGGUUGGUGUCUAACCGGUUCUGAGUGGAUGUUGCCUAAGUCCGUGUCCACGCCGACGAAUCGGGGUACGUAUACGCUUUAUUGCGGAUGCGAAGACUCAAUGAGCUCUGCGCCUGGGAGCUGCCAACCACCCCUUUUUUCUAACGAAUUUUUCUAUAAAUAAAGACAAYAUCAGUCUUACCGGUGGAUCACUCGGUUCGUGGAUCGAUGAAGAACGCAGCAAACUGCGAUAAGUAGCGUGAAUUGCAGACGCUUUGAACGUUAAACUUUCGAACGCACAUUGCGCCGUAGGAGUCCUACCCUACGGCACAUCUGGUUGAGGGUCGUGAUCAAACACAGCAGGCCUCAGGCUGUAAUAUAACUGAUUGGUGAAUCACAAGUCCGRGCUAAAUGCCUCUGCCCGGAUGUGUUUUGCCAUAAUGUUUAGAGGACGCGUGCCCCUUCACGGGGGCAUUCGCCUACCACACGGAUGAUCUAUUAGCUGACGCAAUAGAUCCCCGGUUGCAGGGUAUCAUACGAUUCGAAAUACUCUGCGGCUUAGGGGAUACAGCUAGUACGCUUCAUACGUGCCUGGUUUUUGAGAGACAUUCGCUCUCCCGACCUCAACUCA